AACGCACAUUGCGCCCAUUAGUAUUCUAGUGGGCAUGCCUAUUCGAGCGUCAUUUCAACCCUUAAGCCCUAGUUGCUUAGCGUUGGGACUCUGAGCCUUUACGGCCCAGUUCCUUAAAGUUAGUGGCGGAGUUAUGGCACACUCUCAGCGUAGUAAUUUCUAUCUCGCUUUUGUGGUGGCUGUGGCGACUUGCCGUAAAACCCCUAAUUAUCUAGUGGUUGACCUCGGAUUAGGUAGGAAUACCCGCUGAACUUAA
rnacentral:misc_RNA from 1 species